CGUUGAUUACGUCCCUGCCCUUUGUACACACCGCCCGUCGCUACUACCGAUUGAAUGGCUCAGUGAGGCUUCCGGACUGGCCCAGAGAGGUCGGCAACGACCACUCAGGGCCGGAAAGCCUAUCCAAACUCGGUCAUUUAGAGGAAGUAAAAGUCGUAACAAGGUCUCCGUUGGUGAACCAGCGGAGGGAUCAUUAAAGAGUUGCAAAACUCCCAAACCAUUGUGAACAUACCUUCAACGUUGCUUCGGCGGGUUGGCCCCGGUCUCCGGGGUCCCCGGCCCUAACGGGCGCCCGCCGGAGGUACCUAACUCUUGAACUUUUAUGGCCUCUCUGAGUCUUUGUACUUAAUAAGUCAAAACUUUCAACAACGGAUCUCUUGGUUCUGGCAUCGAUGAAGAACGCAGCGAAAUGCGAUAAGUAAUGUGAAUUGCAGAAUUCAGUGAAUCAUCGAAUCUUUGAACGCACAUUGCGCCCGCCAGUAUUCUGGCGGGCAUGCCUGUUCGAGCGUCAUUUCAACCAUCAAGCCCCCGGCUUGUGUUGGGGACCUGCGGCUGCCGCAGGCCCUGAAAACCAGUGGCGGGCUCGCUAGUCACUCCGAGCGUAGUAAUACAUACAUCUCGCUCAGGGCGUGCUGCGGGUUCCGGCCGUUAAAAAGCCUUAUUUACCCAAGGUUGACCUCGGAUCAGGUAGGAAGACCCGCUGAACUUAAGCAUAUCAAUAAGCGGAGGA
rnacentral:rRNA from 1 species